GGACAUGGAGUGGGAGUAACGUGCCACUUAUCUAGUGCAGGGAGAAGAAAGAAAAAAGUGCGGGCGAUCAGCGGCGUGUGAGGAUUUAGAAUAAACAAAUUUUUGUUUAAUCAAAUAACAAUCUGCGCUGGAUCCGAGGGUUGGUGUUGAAAAUCACUUCAGCUCGAUGAGCGCUAGAAAUAUGGCGACCCUUAUGUGGAUUUGUUCUUUUCUUCUGAUCUUAAACUUGGCUACGUCAGCGUCGGACGUCUGUUGGAUGAACCCUCCUACACAAUGCCCAGUUCCCCCCAGCGGGGGCGAAUGGACCCCUGAGGAGUUGGCGCUGGGGAUCAAAAUCCUCGAAGACAGCGGGGAUUAUGUGGGCCCCAGUGGAUUAGGAGCAAAUCACAUGGAUUGGAUAGAAGGAGCUCCAGGAGAUUUUCAAAAUUAGGGAUAUUUUGGUAUUUGACUAAUCAAAUUUUCUCCGAGAGGAAUUUCUAUCAGGUGCUAUAAAUGAAGUCUUCAAUACUAUCAAGAUUUAAUAUUUAUAUACAUUUUCUAUCCUUUAGAUUUUCAUAAUAAAAGCAUAACUUCUAUUGGUGGUGUUCUCCAGAAGAAAAAUGUGAAGAAAUAGCGAUAGUAAAAUUGUAUGUCACUGAUUUGACUGAAUGUCUCUAAGUUAGCGUCAAUCUCUAAUCUUUAUUACUAAUCACACUUGUUCGGCUCAAAAAUUAUCUCGUGGAAGAUUUCUAAGCAGCGAACAUCUAUGUUACUUAAUAACAAUAACGAACAAAUCAGGAAUUUAUUUACUAAUUUCAGUAAAUUUCCUACAUUUAUUAGCCUCAAUUUUCUCUUUAAUUAUUAUCAACAAUUAAGAGCCAUACCCGAUCAUACUUUUAUAUCGACAAAUCCAUUGAUCAGUAUCAGCAGCUGCCAAUAACCAGUAAUUUGGCGCGAUCAUCAAAGAAAUUUUAGUCGUCAAAUUGUUGGCAAUUUGUUCUCUGUGCACGGUUUGUAUGCGAUGUUUUUUUAACGCGUUCACCAGCUAAUUAUAGCCCCUGGAUUUAGUGAUGAUAAAAAGCUAGAGCCAUUGCCUUUAGCUGAUCAAAAUUCCUGCCGAUUUAGAGCAAAUAUUGUCUGUAUUGCGGUAAACUAAACUAAGAAUUAAAUUUAUAAACUUGAAUUUGCAGCCAAAUUCUCAAUCUAAGGUUAUAAAUAAAAUGACGCUGUGUAAUUAUAUCACUUUACAAGGACGGUUUAUUUUCGCUGUUAAAUGAGAAAUGAAAUGAAAAAUUUUAU
rnacentral:lncRNA from 1 species